rnacentral:rRNA from 1 species
AGAGUUGAUCUGGCUCAGGAUGAACGCUAGCGACAGGCUUAACACAUGCAAGUCGAGGGCAGCGCGGAGGUGGCAACACUUCUGGCGGCGACCGGCGCACUGGUGAGUAACACGUAUGCGACCUGCCCCGGACAGGGGGGAUAAACCCGGGAAACUGGGCCUAAUACCCCAUAUGCCGAGAGGAUGCAUGUCCUUUCGGUGAAAGAUCCGUCGGUCCGGGAUGGGCAUGCGGCGCAUUAGCUGGUUGGCGGGGCAACGGCCCACCAAGGCGACGAUGCGUAGGGGUUCUGAGAGGAAGGUCCCCCCACACUGGUACUGAGACACGGACCAGACUCCUACGGGAGGCAGCAGUGAGGAAUAUUGGUCAAUGGGCGAUGGCCUGAACCAGCCAAGUCGCCGUGCGGGAUGAAGGCCCUCCGGGUCGUAAACCGCUUUAGCCGGGGAGUAACGUGGGGCACGUGUGCCUCAGUGAGAGUACCCGGAGAAUAAGCAUCGGCUAACUCCGUGCCAGCAGCGGC